AUUGAACGCUGGCGGCAUGCUUUACACAUGCAAGUCGAACGGCAGCGCGGGCUUCGGCCUGGCGGCGAGUGGCGAACGGGUGAGUAAUGCAUCGGAACGUGCCCAGUAGUGGGGGAUAGCGCGGCGAAAGCCGGAUUAAUACCGCAUACGACCUGAGGGUGAAAGCGGGGGACCGAAAGGCCUCGCGCUAUUGGAGCGGCCGAUGUCGGAUUAGCUAGUUGGUGGGGUAAAGGCUUACCAAGGCGACGAUCCGUAGCUGGUCUGAGAGGACGACCAGCCACACUGGGACUGAGACACGGCCCAGACUCCUACGGGAGGCAGCAGUGGGGAAUUUUGGACAAUGGGGGCAACCCUGAUCCAGCCAUGCCGCGUGCGGGAAGAAGGCCUUCGGGUUGUAAACCGCUUUUGUUCGGGAAGAAAGCCUCUGGGCUAAUACCCCGGGGGGAUGACGGUACCGGAAGAAUAAGCACCGGCUAACUACGUG
rnacentral:rRNA from 1 species